rnacentral:rRNA from 1 species
UGGGGAAUCUUCGGCAAUGGACGAAAGUCUGACCGAGCAACGCCGCGUGAGUGAAGAAGGUUUUCGGAUCGUAAAACUCUGUUGCUUGAGAAGAACAAGGACGUUAGUAACUGAACGUCCCCUGACGGUAUCUAACCAGAAAGCCACGGCUAACUACGUCCUAGCAGCCGUGGUAAUACGUAGGUUGCAAGUGUUGUCCGGAUUUAUUGGGCGUAAAGCGAGCGCAGGCGGUUUCUUAAGUCUGAUGUGAAAGCCCCCGGCUCAACCGGGGAGGGUCAUUGGAACCUGGGAGGCUUGAGUGCAGAAGAGGAGAGUGGAAUUCCAUGUGUAGCGGUGAAAUGCGUAGAUAUAUGGAGGAACCCCAGUGGCGAAGGCGGCUCUCUCGUCUGUAACUGACGCUGAGGCUCGAAAACGUGGGGAGCAAACAGG